UACAGAGGUCUCAAGCGUUGUUCGGAUUCAUUGGGCGUAAAGGGUGUGUAGGUGGCCAACUAAGUCAGACGUGAAAUCCCUCGGCUUAACCGGGGAACUGCGUCUGAUACUGGAUGGCUUGAGUGUGGGAGAGGGAUGCGGAAUUCCAGGUGUAGCGGUGAAAUUCGUAGAUAUUGGGAAGAACACCGGUGGCGAAGGCGGCGACCUGGUCCGAUACUGACGCUGAGGCGCGAAAGCGUGGGGAGCAAACAGG
rnacentral:rRNA from 1 species